AAAGAAGAAGAAAAAA
rnacentral:sRNA from 1 species